rnacentral:SRP_RNA from 1 species
GGUUGGGGCUACUGAGGUGUGGACUACGAACCCCGCCAGGUCCGGAAGGAAGCAACGGUAAGUAGAUCCCGCACCGUCAGUAUAACCCUAACCCCA